rnacentral:rRNA from 1 species
GCAUAUCAAUAAGCGGAGGAAAAGAAACCAACAGGGAUUGCCCCAGUAACGGCGAGUGAAGCGGCAACAGCUCAAAUUUGAAAUCUGGCUCCUAGAGCCCGAGUUGUAAUUUGUAGAGGAUGCUUUUGAUGCGGUGCCUUCCGAGUUCCCUGGAACGGGACGCCAUAGAGGGUGAGAGCCCCGUCUGGUCGGAUGCCAAAUCUCUGUAAAGCUCCUUCGACGAGUCGAGUAGUUUGGGAAUGCUGCUCAAAAUGGGAGGUAUAUGUCUUCUAAAGCUAAAUAUUGGCCAGAGACCGAUAGCGCACAAGUAGAGUGAUCGAAAGAUGAAAAGCACUUUGAAAAGAGGGUUAAAUAGUACGUGAAAUUGUUGAAAGGGAAGCGCCUAUGACCAGACUUGGGCCCGGUGAAUCAUCCAGCGUUCUCGCUGGUGCACUUUGCCGGGCACAGGCCAGCAUCAGUUUGUCUUGGGGGAAAAAGGUUUCGGGAACGUGGCUCCCUCGGGAGUGUUAUAGCCCGUUGCAUAAUACCCUGAGACGGACUGAGGUUCGCGCAUCUGCAAGGAUGCUGGCGUAAUGGUCAUCAGCGACCCGUCUUGAAACACGGACC